rnacentral:rRNA from 1 species
UACGUAGGGCGCGAGCGUUGUCCGGAAUUAUUGGGCGUAAAGAGCUCGUAGGCGGCCUGUUGCGUCCGCUGUGAAAUCCCAGGGCUCAACCCUGGGCGUGCAGUGGAUACGGGCAGACUGGAGUACUGCAGGGGAGACUGGAAUUCCUGGUGUAGCGGUGGAAUGCGCAGAUAUCAGGAGGAACACCCGUGGCGAAGGCGGCUCUCUGGGACGGUACUGACGCUGAGACGCGAAAGCGUGGGGAGCGAACAGG